rnacentral:rRNA from 1 species
AUUGAACGCUGGCGGCAUGCCUAACACAUGCAAGUCGAACGGCAGCACGACCUAGCUUGCUAGGUUGGUGGCGAGUGGCGCACGGGUGAGUAAUGCGUAAGAAUAUACCUUAAAGUGGGGGACAACCUGGGGAAACUCAGGCUAAUACCGCAUGAGCUCUAAGGAGGAAAGCUGGGACCUUUCGGGGCCUGGCGCUUUAAGAAUAGCUUACGUCCGAUUAGUUAGUUGGUGGGGUAAAGGCUUACCAAGACGAUGAUCGGUAGCUGGUCUGAGAGGAUGAUCAGCCACACUGGGACUGAGACACGGCCCAGACUCCUACGGGAGGCAGCAGUGGGGAAUAUUGGACAAUGGGGGAAACCCUGAUCCAGCGAUGCCGCGUGUGUGAAGAGGGCCUGCGGGUUGUAAAGCACUUUCGGUGGGGAGGAGGACUUAUAGGUUAAGAGCUAAUGAGUUGGACGUUACCCACAUAAGAAGCACCGGCUAACUCCGUGCCAGCCGCCGCCGUAA